AUUGAACGCUAGCGGGAUGCUUUACACAUGCAAGUCGAACGAGUGGCGGACGGGAGAGUAAUAUAUCGGAACGUGCCCAGUAGCGGGGGAUAACUACUCGAAAGAGAGGCUAAUACCGCAUACUUGUCGAGCGGCCGAUAACCGAUUAGGCAGUUGGUGGGGUAAAGGCUCACCAAGGCAACGAUCCGUAACGGGUUUGAGAGGAUGACCAGCCAAACUGGGACGGAGACACGGCCCAGACUCCUACGGGAGGCAGCAGUGGGGAAUUUUGGACAAUGGGGGAAACCCUGAUCCAGCCAUCCCGCGUGUAUGAGAAGGCCUUCGGGUUGUAAAGUACUUUUGGCAGAGAAGCGGUAUCUGCAGAAUAAGCACCGGCUAACUACGUGCCAGCAGCCGCGGUAAUUC
rnacentral:rRNA from 1 species